rnacentral:lncRNA from 1 species
UUGCACUCUCAAAAGAUCGCUCAAAACACAUAAUUUCCAUCCAAUACUAGAAAUGAUAGACUUCACUCCAACUAAUCUGAAUUCACAUAAUUUUUGUAAUCAUAGACUUCCUCUAUCCAAAACACACACAGCUCUCAAUAAACAACAAUCAUAAUCUUUGAAUAACUCUUCAUAUAAUUCAAUCACUAAGUGCUCAAAUUAUAUAAUCAAUAAUUCAUAAAUCAAUCUUUGAUUUAUUCCACAAAUUCACUUCUCAGUAUUCAAAAACUAUCCAUUAUUUUUCAACAACAAAAAAAAACAAAGAGGUAGCACCAAGCUUAAUCCCAGCUCAUAACUAUCACAGUCUAGUACUCAGACUAACUUCUACAACUCCUAUAUACUUACUCCCUAUUCUCAGAUUCUAACCAUAAUCCUAUAAUUAACCGCUUUUAAUAAUUAAGUUAACCAUCCGUCCUCUUGAACUGACUAUUCUAUAGACUAUUAGUCUAUUUUACCAAUAUCUUACAGAAAUGAUCUAAUAUCUAUUCUACACACCUACAUAUAAUUUUCGUCAUAUUUCACAAACUAAGUACUCAAAUACUAUAAAAUUUAUAUAUUUAGCUUCUUAAUACAUUAAUCUAUCUUUUGUAAAAGGUUUGAGUCAAAAAUUCAUCCAAAAACUCAAGAUAUGGCUCCAAACAUUACUAUGAACAAAAUCACUUACUUAUUGCCUUUGAUUUGAAUGUGCAGAC